rnacentral:rRNA from 1 species
UACGUAGGGAGCAAGCGUUGUUCGGAUUUACUGGGCGUAAAGGGCGCGUAGGCGGCAUGACAAGUCACUUGUGAAAUCUCUGGGCUUAACCCAGAACGGCCAAGUGAUACUGUCGCGCUAGAGUGCAGAAGGGGCAAUCGGAAUUCUUGGUGUAGCGGUGAAAUGCGCAGAUAUCAGGAGGAACACCGGUGGCGAAGGCGGUUCUCUGGGCAUUACCUGACGCUGAGGAGCGAAAGUGUGGGGAGCGAACAGG